CUCGCUUGGGUGGCACAAUCAAUUGUUGUUGUUGUUCUUCGUGGGGGGGGUGUUGUUCCAUUCGGUUGUUUUUCGUUUGUGAAUUGUUGAAAUGCUAAUGCGCCAUUUUGCAUACAUUUCAGGUGGAGUUUGUGCAGAAGUUUUGUGGUCCGGCCCGGUCCGGUCCUCGCAUCGUGCGCUGGUCAAGUGUCGGAUCCGAACAACUAUUUCUUGGCGUUUGUCGGGCUCCACUUUAAUAAUUGUCGACAAAUAAGUAAGGCAUUCUCGCGAGGCUUAGCACAUUUUAUGCAAAUCACUCUGACACAAUCGUCUGUCGGACGGCAUGUCCAAAUGGUGAGGCAUUUCCGCCACGUCAACCUCCAACCUCCACUAUUCC
rnacentral:lncRNA from 1 species